CCCAUGAUCAGCAAAAGAGUAAAAAUCACAGAUGAAAUCCUAUGGUCUCCCAAAUUUUGUGUACCAUAUUUAUUUCUUGCCUUGUCACACUAAAAGUCAGUUCUUCUUGCAAAUUGUAAUUGCAAAGCUACUAUAUAAUGCAAUUGUAUCAACGGCAUUAUUACUCACUCUAACAGCCAACCGUUUUAUUAUUUUCAAAGAAGAUGUUAAAGAAAAAUCGUAUCAAUUUUCUUCCACUCUUGUUUUCUUUCUUCUUAAUCUUUGCUAGUUUCUUUGAACUUGGAACACCUGCAAGGACCACAACCCUUGAGUUCCAGUUCCAGACCAGUGGCAGAUCCAAACUACUUUAUGAAUCAUGGAAUACUGACGGUGGUGUUUGUGGAAGGAAAUCGCCACAUGGUCCCAAGGGUAUCAUUUGUCCACCUCCACCAUGAGAAAUUAUCGGCCUGCGUCUACAAUAAUCAAGUCAAAGAUGCUGGAUACAGUAAACCAUAUGUUAUUGAACUUUAUAUGAGCUUGUUUUGAAACUUCUGCUGUAAGUUUAAUCCUUUGGUGUGAUAGUACAGAAGGAAUAAGAAUGACCAAGAAAUCAGAAAGGAAAUGAAUCACAUUUUAUCCUGAAAAUUUUAUUUUUAAUCUAUUAUAUAUAUAUAUGCACCUAUCCUUGUUCCAAAUCACAGUAGAAAAGAAGUUUGUUGUUGUUACUUGUUA